UCAGAGAUCAGCUGCUGAUAGUACUGCUGUU
rnacentral:piRNA from 1 species